UACGGAGGAUGCGAGCGUUAUCCGGAUUUAUUGGGUUUAAAGGGUGCGCAGGCGGGCUGUUAAGCCGGCGGUAAAAAUUCAGGGCUCAACCCCGGCGAGCCGUUGAAACUGGCUGUCUUGAGAUGUCGAGAGGUAUGCGGAAUGCGCAGUGUAGCGGUGAAAUGCAUAGAUAUCACGCAGAACUCCGAUUGCGAAGGCAGCAUACCGGCGCCCAACUGACGCUGAGGCACGAAAGCGUGGGUAUCGAACAGG
rnacentral:rRNA from 1 species